GUGGGGAGCCUGCUUCUCCCUCUCCCUCUGCCAGACAAUAAUAUACACAAGACAAAAAACACUCUUCCUGAAGAUAAGAAAUCAGUCAUUCAACAGUAAUGAGUCCCAGAGCUGAGGUACCAAACUCCAGUAGGGAGUGACUACACCAGAAAACUAAGGGUAUCUGACACUAGAUAUCAAAGCUUCUUUUCCAC